AGCAGUCGCCGCGGUAAUACGUAGGUGGCAAGCGUUGUCCGGAAUUAUUGGGCGUAAAGGGCUCGCAGGCGGUUUCUUAAGUCUGAUGUGAAAGCCCCCGGCCCAACCGGGGAGGGUCAUUGGAAACUGGGAAACUUGAGUGCAGAAGAGGAGAGUGGAAUUCCACGUGUAGCGGUGAAAUGCGUAGAGAUGUGGAGGAACACCAGUGGCGAAGGCGACUCUCUGGUCUGUAACUGACGCUGAGGAGCGAAAGCGUGGGGAGCGAACAGGAUUAGAUACCCCCGUAGUCCCUGUCUCUUAUAC
rnacentral:rRNA from 1 species